rnacentral:rRNA from 1 species
GACGAACGCUGGCGGCGUGCUUAACACAUGCAAGUCGAACGGGAUGAUCUUAAAGCUUGCUUUUAGAGAAUCUAGUGGCAAACGGGUGAGUAACACGUAGACAACCUGCCGACAGGAUGGGGACAACAUUCCGAAAGGAAUGCUAAUACCGAAUGAAGUCAGAGAAGGGCAUCCUUUUCUGAUGAAAGAUGGCCUCUGAAUAUGCUAUCACCUGUCGAUGGGUCUGCGUCUGAUUAGCUGGUUGGUGAGGUAACGGCUCACCAAGGCGACGAUCAGUAGCCGGUCUGAGAGGAUGAACGGCCACAUUGGGACUGAGACACGGCCCAGACUCCUACGGGAGGCAGCAGUGGGGAAUCUUCCGCAAUGGGCGCAAGCCUGACGGAGCAACGCCGCGUGAGUGAAGAAGGUCUUCGGAUCGUAAAGCUCUGUGACGGGGACGAACGUGCGAAGGGUGAUAUCCCUUGAAAG